rnacentral:rRNA from 1 species
AUUUAGGUAGUGCCUCGUGUAUAACUCAUUGGGGUAAAGCACUGUUUCGACAAUGGGGGUUUUACGACCAUACUGACUCGAUGCAAACUCAGAAUACGAUGAAGUUCGAUCACGGGAGACACACUGCGGGUGCUAAUGUCCGCAGUGGAAAGGGAAACAGCCCAGACCGCCAACUAAGGUCCCAAAGUCAUAGCUAAGUGGGAAACGAAUUGGGAAGGCCCAGACAGCCAGGAGGUUGGCUUAGAAGCAGCCACCCUUUAAAUAAAGCGUAAUAGC